GUGGAAGUGCAAUACACAUCUUCCAUUUUAGAAACCAUCACCCCUGAAGAAAACGUGAAACCAGGACUGCCGUUUAACUUCAGAGUGAAGGUGACUAAACCAGGUUCUUCGACGCCCGAGGGCGUAAUUGUUUCAGUAUGUGUGGGCUAUGGCAGUACUUGUAAAAACUACUCAGCGGAUGAAUCCGGAAUCAUCAACGCCUUCAUUCCUCCUCACCUUCUUGUGGACUCCUCUUAUUCCUAUAUUUGGGCACAGGACCUCAUUGAAUAUCAGCAAGGCAAUCUGGGUUGG